rnacentral:rRNA from 1 species
GAUGAACGCUGGCGGCGUGCCUAAUACAUGCAAGUCGAGCGGACGGACGAGAAUCUUUCUUCUCUGAUGUGAGCGACGGGCGGGUAAUUAACACGUAGCUACCCGACCUAUAAGACUGACGUCAGUUCGGGAACCCGAAUCUAAUACCGGUUAAUAUUUUGAACCUCGUGGUUCAUCAGACAACACGGUUCUUGCUGUGACUAAUUCAUGGUACCUAGUUGGAUUAGCUAGUUGGUAAGGUAACGGCUUACCAAGGCAACGAUGCAUAGCCGACCUGAGAGGGUGAUCGGCCACACUGGAACUGAGACACGGUCCAGACUCCUACGGGAGGCAGCAGUAGGGAAUCUUCGGCAAUGGGCGAAAGCCUGACCGAGCAACGCCGCGUGAGUGAUGAAGGUCUUCGGAUCGUAAAGCUCUGUUAUUAGGGAAGAACAGAUGUGUGAUUAACUGUUCAUAUCUUGACGGUACCUAAUGAGUAAGCCACGGCUAACUACGUG